rnacentral:rRNA from 1 species
GGAGGAUGCGAGCGUUAUCCGGAAUCAUUGGGUUUAAAGGGUCCGUAGGCGGUUUAAUAAGUCAGUGGUGAAAUCUGGUCGCUCAACGAUCAAACUGCCAUUGAUACUGUUAGACUUGAAUAAUUGUGAAGUAACUAGAAUAUGUAGUGUAGCGGUGAAAUGCUUAGAUAUUACAUGGAAUACCAAUUGCGAAGGCAGGUUACUAACAAUUUAUUGACGCUGAUGGACGAAAGCGUGGGGAGCGAAC